rnacentral:lncRNA from 1 species
GAAUGCAGAGACCACGUUGUAUAUGAAGCAUCCACUUUGCCUUGUACACCAGGGCAUUCAAUAACCACUUAAUAACUACAACCCUGAUGAUCCGAUUCACUACUAAAGUCUUCCGUGUUUAAAUUUUCAAAGUCAGAUUCUCCUACAGCAAUUGGCCCAGUUCCCCUUCCUAGAGGCAACUACUACUACUUAUCUCCCAUAUAUAUUUCCAGGAGUGAUGGUGAGGAGGAAUUGUGCCAGCUUGCUUCUUCACUGCCAUUUUGGAACCAGAACUCAGAACCUGAGAAAGAUGAAUGAAAUUUAGUGUUUCCCAUCCCCGAGAGACACCCAGCAUCCACAACUUCACACUCUGAUGCCAUUGUGUAUUUAUGCAAGAAAUACCAUAACUAAGAUGAGGUCUCGCUAUGUUGCCUAGGCUAGUCUUGAACUCCUGGCCUCAAGUGAUCCUUCUGCCUCAGCAUCGGGAGUCACUGGGAUUAAAGGCAUGAGCCACCAUGCUCAGGAACUUGACAUCAUCAGACAGUAAAUCAAGAGGUACUGACAACUGAGACUGAGUGAUGGUCCCUGCCUAGGAUUUGGAAUCUUUGCAUGAAAUAGGGACUCUAGCCACCAGCGACAAAGAAGUCAGGGAGACUGC